rnacentral:tRNA from 1 species
UCCCUGGAGGACUAGUGGUGAGGCCUCGGCGCUCUCACCGCCACGCCCCGGGUUUGAUUCCCGGCAAGGGAA